rnacentral:rRNA from 1 species
AGUAGUCAUAUGCUUGUCUCAAAGAUUAAGCCAUGCAAGUCUAAGUAUAAUCAAAUUAACUGAUGACACUGCGAAAAGCUCCUUAAAAUAGUUAUAAUUUAUUUGAUAGUGACGUUACUACUCGGAUAGCCGUAGUAAUUCUAGAGCUAAUACGUGCACAAAGAGGUGACUGCCUUGGCGGAAACCUUGUGUUUAUUAGAUCGAAAACCAGCAUGUGUGUGCGGGGUGGUUCGCCGUCUCGUAUGCAUGAACUUUGGUGAGUCAUGAUAAUCGUCGUAUCGACCUUAGUCGAUAGUUCAUUCAAAUUUCUAACCUAUCAACCUGACGUUAAGGUAGUGUCUUAGAGUAGUCGUGACGGGUGACGGGGAAUCAGGGUUCGAUACCGGAGAGUGAGCCUGAGAAAUGGCUAACAUUGCUAAGGUGAGCAGCAGGCGCGCAAAUUACCCACUGGCAAUAUUAUUGCUGAGGUAGUGACAAAAAAUACCGAUGUGGGGCUUCGGCUCCAUAAUUGGAAUGGGGUGGGUGCAAAUAGCCCGCCGAGCAACCAUUAGAGGGCAAGUCUGGUGCCAGCAGCCGCGGUAAUUCCAGCUCUAAUAGUGUAUACUAACGUUGCUGAUGUUAAAAAGCUCGUAGUUGGAUUUUAGGCGGGGCUAUUCGUCCUUGUGUUUUUUGUUACGUCGGAUUGCUUGCGGGUGGCUGCUUUCUUUAACGUGGGUUGAUUCAAUGAUCCCGUUGGAGGGACGGUGCCCGUCGGUGCUGGCGUGGCCGCAGGGAUUGCCUCGUCAAUCAUUUUAUUCGAAUUGUCGCGGUCUCCUUAAUUGGGGUACGGCGCCGGUCCGGAUGGUUUACUUUGAAGAAAAUGGAGUGUUCAAAGCAGGCGUUUCGCAGCUGAACACAUUAGCAUGGAAUAAUAAAAUAGGACAUCAGUGGGGCUUUCGCCGGCCUCGUUUCGUCCGUUCGUUUCUUUCUGCAGGAUACGGCUUUUUCGUCUCGAAAGGGGCGGGGGAGUCGCCCUGUGGUGGCGGGCGGGGGUGCGGGGAUGUCGGGGGGCUCCUGCUUUUUUGUAUGCAUCCGUUUUGUUGGUUUUCAGGAGCUGGUGUAAUGAUUAAUAGGGACUGUCGGGGGCAUUAGUAUUGCAUUGUCAGAGGUGAAAUUCUUGGAUUUAUGCAAGACUAACUAGUGCGAAAGCAUUUGCCAAGGAUGUUUUCAUUAAUCAAGAACGAAAGUGAGGGGAUCGAAGACGAUCAGAAACCGUCGUAGUCCUCGCCAUAAACUAUACCGUCUAGGGAUUGGAGGAUGACAUUUUUACAUAGUCCCCUUUAGCACCUUAGGGAAACCAUAAGUUUUCGGGUUCAUGGGGGAGUAUGGCCGCAAGACUGAAACUUAAAGAAAUUGACGGAAGGGCACCACCAGAUGUGGAGCAUGCGGCUCAAUUCGACUCAACACGGGGAAACUUAUCAGGUUCGGACACGGUGAGGAUUGACAGAUUGAUAGCUCUUUCUUGAUUCCGUGGGUGGUGGUGCAUGGUCGUUCUUAGUUGGUGGGGUGGCUUGUCUGCUUAAUUGCGAUAACGAACGAGACCUCUCUCUGCUAAAUAACGGCGUGCCACGGCAUGAAAGUGUUGUGGUACGGUUACCGUUCCUUAGAGAGACUACCGUUGUGAGACGGGGGAAGUGAGGCAAUAACAGGUCCGUUAUGCCCUUAGAUAAUCUGAACCGCACGCGUACUACUAUAGCCGCCUCAACGAGUUUGUCCUGGCCCGGAAGGGUUGGGUAAUCUUUGGAGUAGCGGCUGUGCUGGGGAUCGGUUUUUGUAAUUCUGAACCGUGAACGCGGAAUAUCUCGUAAGUGCAGUUCAUCAGACUGCGCUGAUUACGUCCCUGCCCUUUGUACACACCGCCCGUCGCUCCUACCGAUGAAUGAUCAGGUGAAAUGCUCGGACGGCGCAGCUAUGGCGGGGUAACCCUCCGUGGCCGCGUCGGAAGAGCAGUAAAUCUUAUUAUUUAGAGGAAGGAGAAGUCGUAACAAGGUUUUC